ensembl:snoRNA
GUGGCCCUGAAUCAAAGCGAGCAGUUUUCUAAAGCUGUUGGUUUCAAGUAGGAGCCUAAAGUACUAUCUUUCUAUGGCCUGUUGUCCAAUUCGGAAUUUUAGAAAUAUAAUGGUCAGACUGUAACCCCA